CAGUGGGGAAAGUCACAAUGGAGGGCCUGGGAUUCUGGACAAAGAGAUUCACAGUGUGAGCGAGAUUCAACGUGAGGGGCUUCCUCCACUGUGAGCUUUGAAAAUGGAGGGGCCAUGUGGCAAAGGAUAUGGCGGGCUCCAGGAAUUGAGAACAGCUCCACCCCACCUCCACCUGACAGCUGCCCAGGAACAAGGACUACAAUCCCACAACUGCCUGAAACUGAAUUCUGCCACCAAGCUCUGUAUAAGCUUGAAGGAGGACCCCAGCCUCAAGAUGAGGACACAGCUUCGUGAAAUCCUGAACUGAGAAUCAUUCACACCAGGCCUGGAUUUCUCAUUAAGGAAAUGUAGAGAAAUAAAUGGGUGCUGUGUAGAGCCAGUGAGUUAGUGGUAAUACGUUAUGCAGUAACAGAAAAUUCAUACAUAGACCA
rnacentral:lncRNA from 1 species